AAGAAAAUGAGGAUGGACGUUAAAAUGCAAAAACGAAACGAGAAAAUUUUGGCAUUUUGUCACUUGCCAUGGUCGCUAAAGAAACAAGUUAAACUAUUGGUAAUAAUACUACUGCUUCAAGAGUAUUGCUAAUAAUUUGUGAUAGUGCCUUUUCCAUUUUAAAGGACAGCUGUAUUUGAAACGUGUGAAACGAUGUGAAACAAAGACGUGUGAGGUGUUGUAUUAGUUUUUGAGGUUCUUUAGUUAACGGUGCACGUGCAGGGUCCUUUAUGUUUACACAUGGUGAAGCAGUUAAAGAAACAAUUUCCAUUAUUUUUACUGCAUGUGCAACCUAACUAAAUGUUUAAACCAACUGACAAGACUUAAUUGAUGCCUCAGGUCAGUCACAAAAACAAUGAAAAUCAUACUUGACUAAACUUCUCCAUGAUCCAUGAGGUUGGUUUGAUUACUAUCGAAAACAGUCCAAUGGCCUUUAUGUUUACCUUCCAUGGAAAACAGCUGCUUUUAGGUGAAGUGAUGGAGACGACAUCACUGAAUGCAAAUUGUUUGCUCAUUUCCAAUGAUGUCAAGGGAAGUGAGAAAGCAAGUGUUGGUGUGUGGGGACAGAAAUGGUAGGAACACUUUUUGAAGCAUCAACGGUUCGCUCCAACAAAGUUUCAUUCGUGAAGAGAAUUGACACAAGAAAUGGGAUCUCACUGCAGAAUGGCAGCAGAGCAGCGUAUGAAAAGUGACUUCGGGAAAUAUUCAUCCGCUUAAUUGAACUUCCAAGAGAUGAUCAAGGUUAGGUAGUCUUUUCUUCUCUUCACCAAAUUCAGUUUGUCGUCGCC